rnacentral:misc_RNA from 1 species
GAUGAAGAACGCAGCGAAAUGCGAUAAGUAGUGUGAAUUGCAGAAUUCAGUGAAUCAUCGAAUCUUUGAACGCACAUUGCGCCCCUUGGUAUUCCAUGGGGCAUGCCUGUUCGAGCGUCAUUUGUACCUUCAAGCUUUGCUUGGUGUUGGGUGUUUGUCCCUCGGGACUCGCCUUAAAGUCAUUGGCAGCCAGUGUUUUGGUUUUGAAGCGCAGCACAAGUCGCGAUUCAAGGCUAUCCGCCCGCUUCCACAAGCCUUUUUCACUUUUGACCUCGGAUCAGGUAGGGAUACCCGCUGAACUUAAGCAUAACAAUAAGCGGAGGA